GGGCCCGUAGCUCAACUGGCAGAGCAAGCGGCUCUUAACCGCUAGGUUCAGGGUUCGACUCCCUGCGGGCUCA
rnacentral:tRNA from 1 species